rnacentral:piRNA from 1 species
UGNGGGGCUGGACUUGGUAUGAUCAUUGAAG